GACGAACGCUGGCGGCAGGCCUAACACAUGCAAGUCGAGCGAGAUCUUCGGGUCUAGCGGCGGACGGGUGAGUAACGCGUGGGAAUAUGCCCUUCUCUGCGGAAUAGCCUCGGGAAACUGAGCGUAAUACCGCAUACGCCCUUUGGGGGAAAGAUUUAUCGGAGAAGGAUUAGCCCGCGUUGGAUUAGGUAGUUGGUGGGGUAACGGCCUACCAAGCCGACGAUCCAUAGCUGGUUUGAGAGGAUGAUCAGCCACACUGGGACUGAGACACGGCCCAGACUCCUACGGGAGGCAGCAGUGGGGAAUCUUAGACAAUGGGGGCAACCCUGAUCUAGCCAUGCCGCGUGAGUGAUGAAGGCCUUAGGGUUGUAAAGCUCUUUCAGCUGGGAAGAUAAUGACGGUACCAGCAGAAGAAGCCCCGGCUAACUCCGUG
rnacentral:rRNA from 1 species